CCAUCCCUCCCUGCACACAGAAACAGGAGGUGCACCCAGGGAGCCCUGAGGCCUGGGAGACCCAUCUCCACGCAGCGCCCCACGAGGCAAGCACAGCACUGAGGCUCACCUAGGGCUGUGCCCCGACAGGUCAUGAGGGCCCUGAGCUCAGCACUGCUGCUGCCCCUUGUGGGGAACGCCGCUGACUGCAUGGAUCGUUGUGAGGAUGAAGUCAGAUCACGGACAUCAAUCACUACGCACGAUUUCCUGCACACAAUACAUCUGCUGUUGCAAGGAGCUUAUUUAAAGAAAUGGAAGUUUAUCGUCAUGUCAGUGCUGUAUCUUUGAAGUUUUUGUGCGUUUUUUUUUUUUAAAGCAAGUAAUUCCCAUAAAAAUGGAACUCAAGGGGAGAAGGGAUAUCUCUUAAAGAAAUAACAGAGAUGGGGUCUUGCGAUGUUGCCCAGGCUGGUCUCCAGUUUCUGGUCACUGAGGAGCGAAGAAGCAAAAUGGAACGGAAGUGGCCUGCGGUCAGAGAGUUCAUGGAAAUUUGCUGGUCCUGCCCUGAACACUCAGACCUGACGCACACAUUCCUUUGCAUGGCUGCAGUAAACAGCAGCAUCAAGAUCCAGGGUUGGAGACCACUCUCCAGUAUUCUCUUGGCCUCCUUCAAUAGUGAUGCAUCUUAUUUCUCACAGCAGCCAUGACAGUUCAUUCUUGAGAUCAAUAACUGCCCACAUAGCAAUGUGCAACUGUGCCUCAGGCUACUCCACAGCCUCUUAAUGUCAAGAACACAUUCUUGCAUGAUUAUUGGAUUAAACAAUUGUCUU